rnacentral:rRNA from 1 species
UCUAAUACCGAAUAUGACCACGCGCAUUCAUGGUUGUGUGGUGGAAAGCUUUUGCGGUGUGGGAUGGGCCCACGGCCUAUCAGCUUGUUGGUGGGGUAAUGGCCUACCAAGGCGACGACGGGUAGCCGGCCUGAGAGGGUGACCGGCCACACAUGGAGACUGAGAUACGGCCCAGACUCCUACGGGAGGCAGCAGUGGGGAAUAUUGCACAAUGGGCGCAAGCCUGAUGCAGCGACGCCGCGUGAGGGAUGACGGCCUUCGGGUUGUAAACCUCUUUCAAUAGGGACGAAGCGCAAGUGACGGUACCUAUAGAAGAAGGACCGGCCAACUACGUGCCAGCAGCCGCGGUAAUACGUAGGGUCCGAGCGUUGUCCGGAAUUACUGGGCGUAAAGAGCUCGUAGGUGGUUUGUCGCGUUGUUCGUGAAAACUCACAGCUUAACUGUGGGCGUGCGGGCGAUACGGGCAGACUAGAGUACUGCAGGGGAGACUGGAAUUCCUGGUGUAGCGGUGGAAUGCGCAGAUAUCAGGAGGAACACCGGUGGCGAAGGCGGGUCUCUGGGCAGUAACUGACGCUGAGGAGCGAAAGCGUGGGGAGCGAACAGGAUUAGAUACCCUGGUAGUCCACGCCGUAAACGGUGGGUACUAGGUGUGGGUUUCCUUCCUUGGGAUCCGUGCCGUAGCUAACGCAUUAAGUACCCCGCCUGGGGAGUACGGCCGCAAGGCUAAAACUCAAAGGAAUUGAGCGGGGGCCCGCACAACGCGGCGGAGCAUGUGGAUUAAUUCGAUGCAACGCGAAGAACCUUAUCCUG